GCAUUUGCGUAAUGUCACCCGUAGAGUGAAGCAACUUAUAAUGAAAGAAAAACAACAAGAAAGAUGAGUAAGAAAGGAGGGAUACACGCGCACGAGCUAGUGCGAGGGUAUUUACGUAUCCUGGAUCGUGGAUGCAAAUAUGGCAUAAGAUCAGGCUGUGGCAGCUCGCGCCUGGACGUAUACUCGCCAAGACAGUAUUAUGGGUAGGUUAGCUCAUGAGCUCUACAAGAACCAAGGUAGGUUGGACCGCACCCUGUUCCUCGAGCAUCUAUCGGGCCUCGCUAUAGUGCAUAUACGCACACCCUCUUUCUCUCUCAACGACCUGGUUAGUCUUUUACACAUGCACAUAAGCUGAAACGACACGCACACGCGUUCCAGAGAACAAGAUGCGAGGUUAACGCUCCCCGCGAUAUCUCAAAUCGACGCUUGAGUGUGUCCCUUAUAAGUGUGUAUAUGCUUCAAGAGACGUGUGGGUACGGGAACUUACCUUGAGGCCCUGGCGCAAGAGUCCUGUCCAGUUUUCCCAUGGGCACAAUACGCUAUGGGAUAUAAUAACGACUUUACGGCGUGGGAGAUGCGUCUUAUUUAUUUGUACUUCGUUAUAUCUUUUGUUAUUUUCGGAUAAUUUUUUUUCGUUAUCAGAAUCAAUAAUCCAUUUAGUUUCAAUUUCCAAGGAUUUUGCAAAUCACGGAGAUCAUUUUAUACUCAUGUUAAUAAUUUUGGUGUUGACGUGAUAAGACGCGCACACAAGAAUGAGCAGGUAAAAAAAUAAGUAGUAUUUAAAGAUCACGAGAUCCUUAAGCCAUAGAAAACAGUACCCACUGGUUUUAGAUGUACAACAGAUUUGUACAAUAUUUCAUUGUGUGUUGGGCCUUAAAAAUGUCCUUGACUCGCAGGGAGGUCAAUUCAAGUAUAUUGAAAGACUCUGAAGGUCUUUACAAAAAAAAUAUUUCUUGAGUGUGAAGAUAAAUACAAGUAUUGUAAUAUAAUGGACAUUUCUGAUGGAUGCAAAUUCCACUUUUUAGUGGCAUGGGAGAAGAAAAUUGACGUUUGAAAUUGAUGAUAGAAGUUGAAAAGAAA